rnacentral:rRNA from 1 species
CUGGCGGCGUGCUUACACCAUGCAAGUCGAACGAACUUCGGGUUAGUGGCGGACGGGUGAGUAACGCGUGAGAAUCUGCCCUCAGGAGGGGGACAACAGUUGGAAACGACUGCUAAUACCCCAUAUGCCGCGAGGUGAAAUGAAUUUCGCCUGAGGAUGAGCUCGCGUCUGAUUAGCUAGUUGGUGUAGGUAAUGGCUCACCAAGGCAUCGAUCAGUAGCUGGUCUGAGAGGAUGAUCAGCCACACUGGGACUGAGACACGGCCCAGACUCCUACGGGAGGCAGCAGUGGGGAAUUUUCCGCAAUGGGCGAAAGCCUGACGGAGCAACGCCGCGUGAGGGAUGAAGGCCUCUGGGCUGUAAACCUCUUUUAUCAAGGAAGAAGAUCUGACGGUACUUGAUGAAUAAGCCACGGCUAAUUCCGUGCCAGCAGCCGCGGUAAUACGGGAGUGGCAAGCGUUAUCCGGAAUUAUUGGGCGUAAAGCGUCCAGCAGGCGGCCCUUCAAGUCUGCUGUUAAAAAGUGGAGCUUAACUCCAUCAUGGCAGUGGAAACUGUUGGGCUUGAGUGUGGUAGGGGCAGAGGGAAUUCCCGGUGUAGCGGUGAAAUGCGUAG